rnacentral:rRNA from 1 species
UGCAAGUCGAGCGAGAAGUGACUUCGGUCGCGAGUAAAGCGGCGAACGGGUGAGGGAACGGGGAUAAUCUACCCUAGGGUCUGGGACAACCCCGAGACUACGGGGCUAAUACCGGAUAAGACCACAGUAUCCAAGGAUACAGCGGUAAAAGAUUUAUCGCCUUUGGAUGAGUCCACGCCCCAUCAGGUAGUUGGUAAGGUAAAGGCUUACCAAGCCUAAGACGGGUAGCCGGCCUUAGCGGGUGAACGGCCACAUGGGGACUGAGACACGGCCCUGACUCCUACGGGAGGCAGCAGUGGGGAAUAUUGGGCAAUGGGCGAAAGCCUGACCCAACGAUGCCGCGUGAGGGAUGAAGGCCUUCGGGUUGUAAACCUCUGUCAGGAGGGACGAUGGGACACUUGUGUCUUGACGGUACCUCCAGAGGAAGCCCCGGCUAACUCCGUGCCAGCAGCCGCGGUAAUACGGAGGGGGCAAGCGUUGCUCGGAAUUACUGGGCGUA